UACGUAGGGUGCAAGCGUUGUCCGGAAUUAUUGGGCGUAAAGGGCUCGUAGGCGGUCCAUCGCGUCGGGAGUGAAAAGCUGGGGCUUAACCCCAGUCCUGCUUCCGAUACGGGUGGACUAGAGGUAGGUAUGGGAGAUCGGAAUUCCUGGUGUAGCGGUGAAAUGCGCAGAUAUCAGGAGGAACACCGGUGGCGAAGGCGGAUCUCUGGGCCUUACCUGACGCUGAGGAGCGAAAGCAUGGGGAGCAAACAGG
rnacentral:rRNA from 1 species